ACGGGAGGCAGCAGUGGGGAAUAUUGGGCAAUUGGCGCAAGCCUGACCCAGCAACGCCGCGUGAAGGAAGAAGGCUUUCGGGUUGUAAACUUCUUUUGUGAGGGACGAGAAGAAGACGGUACCUCAUGAAUAAGCCACGGCUAACUACGUGCCAGCAGCCGCGGUAAUACGUAGGUGGAAAGCGUUGUCCGGAUUUACUGGGUGUAAAGGGCGUGUAGCCGGGUCGGCAAGUCAGAUGUGAAAUCCAUGGGCUUAACUCAUGAACUGCAUUUGAAACUGUUGAUCUUGAGUAUCGGAGAGGCAAGCGGAAUUCCUAGUGUAGCGGUGAAAUGCGUAGAUAUUAGGAGGAACACCAGUGGCGAAGGCGGAUUGCUGGACGACAACUGACGGUGAGGCGCGAAAGC
rnacentral:rRNA from 1 species